rnacentral:rRNA from 1 species
UACGUAGGGUGCAAGCGUUAAUCGGAAUUACUGGGCGUAAAGCGUGCGCAGGCGGUUGUGCAAGACAGAUGUGAAAUCCCCGGGCUCAACCUGGGAAUUGCAUUUGUGACUGCACGGCUAGAGUGUGUCAGAGGGGGGUAGAAUUCCACGUGUAGCAGUGAAAUGCGUAGAGAUGUGGAGGAAUACCGAUGGCGAAGGCAGCCCCCUGGGAUAACACUGACGCUCAU